CUACUACUCCCUCCGUUCCAAAUUACUUGUCUUGGAUUUGUCUAGAUACGGAUGUAUCUAGCACUAAAAUGAGUCUAGAUACAUCCGUAUCUAGACAAAUCUGAGACAAGUAAUUCGGAACGGAGGGAGUAGUUU
rnacentral:pre_miRNA from 1 species